AGGACGAACGCUGGCGGCGUGCUUAACACAUGCAAGUCGAACGGAAAGGCCCUUUCGGGGGUACUCGAGUGGCGAACGGGUGAGUAACACGUGGGUGAUCUGCCCUGCACUUCGGGAUAAGCUUGGGAAACUGAGUCUAAUACCGGAUAUGACCAUGGGAUGCAUGUCUUGUGGUGGAAAGCUUUUGCGGUGUGGGAUGGGCCCGCGGCCUAUCAGCUUGUUGGUGGGGUGAUGGCCUACCAAGGCGACGACGGGUAGCCGGCCUGAGAGGGUGUCCGGCCACACUGGGACUGAGAUACGGCCCAGACUCCUACGGGAGGCAGCAGUGGGGAAUAUUGCACAAUGGGCGCAAGCCUGAUGCAGCGACGCCGCGUGGGGAUGACGGCCUUCGGGUUGUAAACCUCUUCAGUAGGGACGAAGCGCAAGUGACGGUACCUACAGAAGAAGCACCGGCCAACUACGCGCCAGCAGCCGCGGU
rnacentral:rRNA from 1 species